GCUUCUUCUCGCUCCACACAUCGAGCCAACAGUGAAGCCCAUGGUGGGGAUGGCCUUCCUCGUCGCCUCCUCCUCCUCCUCCCCCUCCCGUGUCCUCUCCCCCACCUCCGCCACCCCCAACGGAAAUCCCCCGCAUUCUCCCCGCCGCAAGCUUCGCCGUUCGACCGCCAAACCCCUCCUCUCUGAUGUUCGACGCGAUCUCACCGCCGUCCCUCACCACACCGGUCACCCCUCCGCCGCCGUUGCUCCCUCCUCAUCUUCCACCCGUAACCUCCUCAAGUACUACGCCCGCCUCGCCUCGAACCUAGCCAAGAACGGCAAGCUCCGGGACUUCUUGAUGAUCGCUGAGAGCGUCCUCACCUCUGACGCGGUCGCCGCCGAUUCCCCCCAGUUCGUGGCCCGCAUCGAUCCCAGGCUAACCGCUCAAGGUAUCGCUGCCGUCCUUCGCGACGGGAAUCUUGAUGAGGUUACCGGUUUCUUGAGCGAAGCGGCGAGGCUUGGGUUCUGCCCCUCUUCGCUCUUUGACGAGCCGGCAUUGGAGGCUUUGGGAUUGGAGUGCCGGCGGCUCGCGGACAAGGGAAAAUUAGAGGAGUGUGUUGAGUUGAUGGAAACUCUCGCAGGUUAUGGAUUCUCUAUCAAAGACAUCGUAGAUCCAGAUUAUAUAUUGAGCAAGAUUAUUCACACUCGUGAUCCAGAUUUGGCUGUAAGGUAUGCAAGUGUUUUUUCACAUUCCCAACUUUUGUUCUGCUCUAUAUUAGAGGAAUUCGGAAAGAAGCAUGACAUUGGUUCUGCUAUAAAAGCUUUUGAAAUUUUCAAAGCAAAGUCAGGUGGUAUGAACAUGUUUGCUUGGCGAGCUAUGAUUGAUGUUUGUGGUCUUUGUGGGGACUGCUUGAAAUCUAGAAGUAUAUUCGAGGAGUUGCUUGCUCAGAAUAUAACUCCAAAUGUAUAUGUUUUCAACAGCCUUAUGAAUGCGAAUGCCCAUGAUAUGAGCUACACCUUUGGUGUUUACAAGCAUAUGCAAAAUCUAGGAGUCACUGCAGAUGUAACAUCUUACAACAUACUUUUGAAGGCAUGCUGUAAUGCCAAAAGGGUUGAUUUGGCUCAAAACAUAUAUGGGGAAAUAAGAUACAUGGCAUCGAAGGGAGCGCUUAAGUUGGACGUCUUCACAUAUACUACAAUGAUAAAAGUCUUUGCAGAUGCAAAAAUGUGGCAGAUGGCAUUGAGCAUAAAGGAAAACAUGCUGUCUGCCAAUGUUAAUCCAAAUAUAGUUACUUGGUCAUCGUUGCUGAGUGCUUGUGCCAAUUCUGGUCUUGUUGAUCGUGCCAUUCAGCUAUUUGAGGAAAUGCUUAUGACUGGCUGUGAACCUAAUGCUCAGUGUUGCAACAUUCUUCUUCAUGCUUGUGUUGAGUCAUGCCAAUAUGAUAGAGCCUUUCGGUUAUUUUAUGCAUGGAAAGAAACUGGAUUCCAGAUUCCUUUUUCUACCAAAGACAUGAAAUGUGAUUUUAGGGAUGUUAGCUUAGCAAUUAAAAGUAGGGAUGAAUAUACUUCAUAUGAAUCAUCAGUGCAAGACACAAAACCUUAUCAUGUGGCCACAGUGGUUCCCUUCAGGCCAACAGUUUUCACUUUUAAUAUUUUGAUGAAGGCUUGUGGUACUGAUUACUACCGUGCAAAAGCUUUGAUGGAUGAGAUGAAGACAAUGGGCCUUACUCCUAACCACAUAAGCUGGUCUACCCUCAUUGGUAUAUAUGGAGCUGCCCAAAAUAUUAAAGGGGCUAUGCAGGCAUUUAGAGCUUUACGAGAUGUAGGUAUAAAACUUGAUGUUGUUGCGUAUACUACAGCCAUCAAGGCGUGUGUUGAGAACAAUAAUUUGAAAGUGGCGUAUUCUUUGUUUGAAGAGAUGAAAAGAUAUCAAAUAAGACCAAACUGGGUGACAUAUAAUACUCUUUUGAGAGCUCGUAACAAAUAUGGAUCUUUACAUGAAGUUCAACAAUGUCUUGGGAUAUAUCAAGAAAUGCGAAAAGCUGGGUACCGAUCCAAUGACUAUUAUCUAAAGGAAUUGAUCGAAGAAUGGUGUGAAGGAGUAUUGUGCAGCAAAGAUCAAAGCCACAACGUGCUUGGAUCUGACAAUUAUAGUGAAGCCAACUCGAGAAAGCCAUAUAAUUUGCUUCUUGAGAAGGUAGCAAUACACUUGCAAAGAGAUGCUGGUGACAGUCAAGCUAUUGAUAUUCGGGGGCUCACAAAGGUUGAAGCUCGAAUUGUUGUUCUUUCAGUUCUGCAGAUGAUCAAGGAGAACUACAUGCUAGGAAAAUCAAUUGAAGAUGAUAUGAUCAUCACUACUGAAAUUAGCAAAGAGAUGAUGAACUCAACUGGCCACGAAGUUGAUGUGCGACAAAGUAUAACCCAAGUAUUGCAGGAUGAAUUGGGCCUUGACUUUAGGACCAGAUAUGGCCCACCUGACCAUCUCUUAUGCAACCCCUUGAUUCUUCCUCCAGAUUCAAAUCUCCAGGCCAGGAGGCCACAGGAUUUAGGAGUGAUAAAGGUCACAAGGGAGUCGCUUCUUUGUUGGUUACAGAAAAGAGGCAGGCGCUCCGAGGCGGAUUGCUAACUUCUUUUUAUUCUUUGCAUGUUCUAUUCAAUUGUGGUGCUACAUAAUACUAAGAUAACUCUUUGCUUGGUGUGUGUGCGCACAAACUGUAUCUCAAGUUAGUACUGUCAGCAUCCCAAAAGAAUCAAGCAUUUGCUUCAGAAAAUAAUAACGCAGAAAAAGAAAAAACAGUUAUGGGAGGUUGACUGGAUAGCAGAUUUGUAUAGCCAACCGGGGAAAAGGUGAGUCAGGGGCUACUCUUGUUCUUAAUCGCGUUUGGAUAUUUUGGUUGGUAAUACAUAAAUUCUUCAUAUGAA